CUUUCUUGUAGAUAGGAACGCGAGGGCCCAGAGCCCUCCCUCCCCCAUUCCCUUUUAAUUCAGUGGCUACGUAGGGGUUUCUUUGAUGGCAGCUUUGAAGUUGGUGGCUUUGAGAUUACUCUUCCUCUGUGACCUUGACCACCAGCCAUGAGCAAAAGCCAACGGUCAUACCCAAUGGCCGCCUGCCUGGCAGAUUUCAUAGCAGGAAGAGAGCUAAGGCUUGGGUGAAACUGGAUACCUGAGGAAGGUGGCAAAGAGGAUCAGGAAAGAAGAGAAGGAAGGUGGAACACUGAAGCAUAGACUACCUUCAACAGGAUUGGUUGAUGGUGAAAACCAUUACGAAGCAUGUAUACCUGAAUCCCUGAAUCGCUGUGUUGUACAGCAGAAAUUAUCACAACAUUGUACAUCAACUGCACUUCAAUAAAACUUUAAAAAAUGAGCAAAAAAGCACUCUUUGAGCAGCUG
ensembl:lncRNA